rnacentral:rRNA from 1 species
UACGAAGGGGGCGAGCGUUGUUCGGAAUUACUGGGCGUAAAGGGCGCGUAGGCGGCCGAUCAAGUCAGAUGUGAAAGUCCUGGGCUUAACCUGGGGACUGCAUUUGAUACUGAUUGGCUUGAAUGCAGGAGAGGAUAGCGGAAUUCCCAGUGUAGAGGUGAAAUUCGUAGAUAUUGGGAAGAACACCGGUGGCGAAGGCGGAUCUCUGGGCCGAUACUGACGCUGAGGAGCGAAAGCGUGGGGAGCAAACAGG